rnacentral:rRNA from 1 species
AGUGAACGCUGGCGGCGUGCCUAACACAUGCAAGUCGAGCGAAGUAUUAGGUGUAGCAAUACAUCUGAUACUUAGCGGCAGACGGGUGAGUAACACGUAGAUAACUUACCUCUUAGAGGGGGAGUAGCCCGCCGAAAGGACGGGGUAAGUACCGCGUACGAAAAUACUUGUGGCAUCACAGGAUUUUGUAAACAACCCGCCAAGGGUGGCUAAGAGAAAGAAUCUGCGGCCUAUCAGCUAGUU